GACGAACGCUGGCGGCAUGCUUAACACAUGCAAGUCGAACGAGAAAGCUUCUUCGGAAGUGAUUAAAGUGGCGCACGGGUGAGUAACGCGUAGACAAUCUGCCCUUCAGUCCGGGACAACUUUCCGAAAGGGGAGCUAAUACCGGAUAACAAUGUUUAACAUAAGUUAAAUAUUUGAAAGCUCCGGCGCUGAUGGAUGAGUCUGCGUCCCAUUAGCUUGUUGGUGCGGUAGCGGCGCACCAAGGCCGCGAUGGGUAGCGGGUUUGAGAGGACGAUCCGCCACACUGGAACUGAGACACGGUCCAGACUCCUACGGGAGGCAGCAGUGGGGAAUAUUGCACAAUGGAGGAAACUCUGAUGCAGCAAUGCCGCGUGAGUGAAGAAGGCCCUUGGGUCGUAAAGCUCUUUUAUGGGGGAAGAUGAUGACGGUA
rnacentral:rRNA from 1 species